rnacentral:rRNA from 1 species
UACGGAGGGGGCUAGCGUUGUUCGGAAUUACUGGGAGUAAAGCGCGCGUAGGCGGCUUUGCAAGUUAGAGGUGAAAGCCCGGAGCUUAACUCCGGAACUGCCUUUAAAACUGCAUCGCUAGAAUCGUGGAGAGGUGAGUGGAAUUCCGAGUGUAGAGGUGAAAUUCGUAGAUAUUCGGAAGAACACCAGUGGCGAAGGCGACUCACUGGACACGUAUUGACGCUGAGGUGCGAAAGCGUGGGGAGCAAACAGG